CAGGUGUUUUGUAAAAUUGAAAAUGGCAAAUGGUAUGAUAAAUGCACAAAUUACUAUAAUCAAGCAACGAUUGAGAGUGUCCAAGAAGUUGUUGGAGAUGAAUUGAUAGUGAAAAUAACUUGUGAUGGAACUUCAAUGAUAACAAAAUUCAAAAAGCAAUCAAGAUGAACAAGAAAAUGAAGUUGGAAAAAAUUCACUUGUGAAUGUCAACAUAACAAUACUAAUACUAAUAGAAAUAAUAAUAAUAAUAAUAAUAAUAAUAAUAAUAAUAAUAAUAAUAAUAAUUAUAGGUAUUCUUAACUAGAAGGUUGUGUAAAUUAACCCAAAUAUUUUGCUGAUACAUAUUGUAAUAAUCCAAAAAACUGGACGACAAAAACACAUUUGGCUGGAUUUAAAUUGGAAAGAGAAUAAUUGAAUUAAAUACUGUAAAACUAUUUUGUUAGCUGUUCUGUUGAUUCUAACAGCAACAAUAACUAUUUUAAUAUUAACAUCAAGUCUUCUUAAAUAAAGAAAAACAAUUAAAUUGUUGAUUA
rnacentral:lncRNA from 1 species